ACUCCUACGGGAGGCAGCAGUGGGGAAUAUUGGACAAUGGGCGCAAGCCUGAUCCAGCCAUGCCGCGUGAGUGAUGAAGGCCCUCGGGUUGUAAAGCUCUUUCACCGGUGAAGAUAAUGACGGUAACCGGAGAAGCAGCCCCGGCUAACUUCGUGCCAGCAGCCGCGGUAAUACGAAGGGGGCUAGCGUUGUUCGGAUUUACUGGGCGUAAAGCGCACGUAGGCGGACUAUUAAGUCAGGGGUGAAAUCCCGGGGCUCAACCCCGGAACUGCCUUUGAUACUGGUAGUCUUGAGUUCGAGAGAGGUGAGUGGAAUUCCGAGUGUAGAGGUGAAAUUCGUAGAUAUUCGGAGGAACACCAGUGGCGAAGGCGGCUCACUGGCUCGAUACUGACGCUGAGGUGCGAAAGCGUGGGGAGCAAACAGGAUUAGAAACCCCGGUAGUCCCAUG
rnacentral:rRNA from 1 species